rnacentral:rRNA from 1 species
GACGAACGCUGGCGGCGUGCUUAACACAUGCAAGUCGAACGAUGAAGCUAGAGCUUGCUCUGGUGAAUUAGUGGCGAACGGGUGAGUAACACGUGAGUAAUCUGCCCCUGGCUUUGGGAUAGCCACCGGAAACGGUGAUUAAUACCGGAUACGACCACUUCUCGCAUGGGAUGGUGGUGGAAAGUUUUUUCGGCCAGGGAUGUGCUCGCGGCCUAUCAGCUUGAUGGUGAGGUAAUGGCUCACCAUGGCUUCGACGGGUAGCCGGCCUGAGAGGGUGACCGGUCACACUGGGACUGAGACACGGCCCAGACUCCUACGGGAGGCAGCAGUGGGGAAUAUUGGACAAUGGGCGGAAGCCUGAUCCAGCAACGCCGCGUGAGGGAUGACGGCCUUCGGGUUGUAAACCCCUUUCAGCAGGGACGAAGCGCAAGUGGCGGUACCUGCAGAAGAAGCACCGGCCAACUACGUGCCAGCAGCCGCUGUAA